AGCUGGAGAGGAUGGACACGCUGCGAAGGAGCCUUUCCCGCUGGAAGAGGUACCACAUUAAGGUGCACCUGGCUGAUGAGGACCUGAUGAUGCCGCUGACGGUCAAGCCCAGAGACACGGUGAUGGACCUACGGGCUCACUUAGUACGGGAGGGCGUCACUUCCUGGAAGAAGACAUUUUAUUACAACUCCAGGCAGCUCGAGGAGCACGAGACUCUCAAAGAAGCCAAUAUCCAGAAUGGCUCUGUCCUGCUUCUUGUCAGCAAUAAAAGAUAAUGCCAAAGAGCACAGCCAAAGCCAUGAGAGCUGGGGAGUGUGACAAGGGCUGAAGGGAAGCAGAUGGAAGAGAGC